GGCAGCCUGGCCUAGCGGUUAGAGCGUUGGACUAGACUCUGGAGACCAGGGUUCGAGACCCAGUUCAGACA